AAUGGAUUGGAAUGGAAUGGAUUUGAAUAGAGUGGAAUGGAAAGUGUUGAGAUAGAAUGGAAUGGAUUUUUUUGGAAUGGUUUAGUAUGUAAUGUAAUCGAUUGGUAGGGAAUUAAAAGGAAUGUAAUGGAAUGGAUUGGAUUGGAAUGUAAUGGAUUUGAAUAGAUUGGAAAUGGAAUGUAAAGGAAUGGAAUGGAAUAGUAUGGAAUGGAAUGGAAAGGAAUGG
rnacentral:misc_RNA from 1 species